GACGAACGCUGGCGGCGUGCUUGACACAUGCAAGUCGAACGGAAAGGCCUGCUUUCCCUUGUGGAUUGCGGGUACUCGAGUGGCGAACGGGUGAGUAACACGUGAGUGAUCUGCCCCCAACUUGGGUAUAAGCCUGGGAAACUGGGUCUAAUUCCCGAUAGGACUGCAGGGUGGUGCCUGUGGUGGAAAACGAUUUUCUAGUGGUUGGGGAUGAGCUCGCGGCCUAUCAGCUUGUUGGUGGGGUAAUGGCCUACCAAGGCGGCGACGGGUAGCCGGCCUGAGAGGGUGGACGGCCACAUUGGGACUGAGAUACGGCCCAGACUCCUACGGGAGGCAGCAGUGGGGAAUAUUGCACAAUGGGCGGAAGCCUGAUGCAGCAACGCCGCGUGGGGGAUGACGGCCUUCGGGUUGUAAACUCCUUUCGACCGCGAGGAAGCCACCUGGUUGGAAGGGUGGUGACGGUAGUGGUAGAAGAAGCACCGGCUAACUACGUG
rnacentral:rRNA from 1 species